UACAGAGGGGGCAAGCGUUAUUCGGAAUUAUUGGGCGUAAAGGGCGCGUAGGCGGCUUGGCAAGUGGAUGGUGAAAUCCCUCGGCUUAACCGAGGAACUGCCGUCCAAACUGCUUCGCUUGAGACCGGGAGAGGUGAGUGGAACUCCCAGUGUAGCGGUGAAAUGCGUAGAUAUUGGGAGGAACACCAGUGGCGAAGGCGGCUCACUGGACCGGUACUGACGCUGAUGCGCGAAAGCGUGGGGAGCAAACGGG
rnacentral:rRNA from 1 species